rnacentral:lncRNA from 1 species
CUCUUCCUGGGUGUAAACUGCGAUUCAAAAAGCCAGGUGGGAAGCCCUGUAGUAGGGACUCUGGCUUUGUCCCUGUUUCCCCCUUUUCUUCCUCUUCACCCACUAAAACCCUGUUUUACUCACGGUUCAAAUUGUUUGGCAGCCUGAAUUUUCAUGGCCAUGGGACAAAGAACCCCGUCUUUAGCUGAAUUAAGGAAAAGUUCUGCAACAUUUUUGACGUGCAACUUGGGGGCUCAAGCGGAGAAGCGUUCCUCCAAGAAGAAGAAGAAAAAAAAAGGAAGAGGAAGAGGAGGAGAAAAAGGAGAAGAGGUGGGCCCAAUUCCUGCCAGUGAGCCCAAUUCCUGCCAGUGAAACCCAUUAGCAAUAUGCAGCAUAGAACUUCUCAUAGACAUUUUAAUUCCUCAAUAGCAAAUUUGAAUGGUGAACCAAGAAAUGUGAGGUAAGCCUGAAUCUGAAAAAACAGCAAAAAGGAAAUCAAAAGUCUUAGUGCUAUUACAUAGAAGAAGAAACUGUUGAAUAAACCUUAUUAUCUUGAAGAUAAGAAAAAAAUUUGGCUGCCACAAAACAAUAACAUAAUGCUUGUUUUGAAGAAGUUUUAAAGAAUAAGAGUCAUCAGAACUUUAAAAUACCAAAACAGAAUUUACAAAGUCCAUUAGAAGAGUUGGAAGAUUAUAUUAAGGAAGCUCAAGAAAACAAAACAAAAACAAACUUAAAGCUAUCCUAUCACUCAAUCUGUGGCUGUAGAUGGGACUGUUGCAACCAGUACUAGGGACACAAAUGGAAUCAGGGCUGGGAAAGCCAUCCCCAGUACCGAACCAGGUAGUGCAACUGGGACCACAGAGCCUAUAUUGGUGGCACAGUUACAGACUGGGUAGGGCACUCCAUUUCCUGCCCCCAUCCCUGUGGUUCCAGCAAGCCAGGUUUCUCCACUUUCUGCAAGUCCAUUUUUGGCUACUUCCAAUAACUAUGUUCUUUUAUUGAAUAUAGUAAUAUAAUAUUUUAAUAAAAAUGUAAAUAGGACAUUCAAUGCAGCUUUUAUUACUAAUAGGCAAAGUCCUUGCCGGGUGAGGUGGCUCACACCUGUAAUCCCAGCACUUUGGGAGGCCGAGGCAGGCGGAUUACCUGAGGUCGGGACUUCGAGACCAACCUGACCAACAUGGAGAAACCCCGUCUCUACUAAAAACACAAAAUCAUCCGGGCGCACACCUGUAAUCCCAACUACUUGGAAGGCUGAGGCAGGAGAAUCACUUGAACGCAGGAGGCAGAGGUUGCAGUGAGCUGAGAUCAUGCCAUUGCACUGCAGCCUGGGCAACAAGAGUGAAACUCCGUCUCAAACAAACAAACAAAAAAUAGGCAAAGUCCCAUAUUAAGAGGACAUAUCUAAUUUCUAUGAUUAUUUUUACUGAUUUAACAAAAGACAAAAUGGAUGAAGAAAAAAGACUAUUUAGAAGGUCAAUGAAAAUUUGGAGAGGGGUCAACAAUAUUUGAAGAAGAAUGAACUUGCCAAGAGGAGACAGAUGCAACUAGAAUAUUUACUGCGUGUCUGAAUCUGCUAAAACAUGAAGCAGCAUUGCCUGCAUCUUCUAUUCCUUCUAUCAAGGAUCAAAACUGUAUUAGUCAGGGUUCUCUAAAGGGUCAGAACUAAUAGGAUACAUGUAUAGAUGAAGGGGAUUUCAUUAGGAGAACUGACUCACAUGAUCACAAAGUGAAGACCCACAAUAGGCCCUCUGCAAGCUGAGGAGCAAGGAAGCCAGUGCGGGUCCCAAAACCUCAAAAGCAAGGAAGCUGAAGGUUCAGCCUUCAGUCUGUGGCCAAAAGCCUGAGAACCCCAGCAAACCACUGGUGUAAAUCCAAGAGUCCAAAAGCUGAAGAAGUUGGAGUCUGACGUUCCAAGGCCGGAAGAAUCCAGCACAGGAGAAAAGAUGAAGGCUGGAAGAUUCAGCAAGUCUGCUCAUUCCACUUUCUUCUGCCUGCUUUAUUUUAGCCAUGCUGGCAGCUGAUUAGAUGGUGCCCAUCCAGAUUGAGGGUGGGUCUUCCUCUCCCAGUCCACUGAUUCAAAUAUUAAUCUCCUUUGGCAACACUCUCACAGAUCCACCCAGGAACAAUGCUUUACAUCCUUCAAUCCAAUCAAGUUGACACUCAAUAUCAGCAAUCAUAAAGACUAUGCUGAGAACUAUGAAUGGCUACUUUUCCACUCACUAUUAAAUAUAGUAAUCAGAACUUAAUAUUUAUUCUCAGAUUACUUAUAUCUUUAUACUUAGAAAAAUCCAUUAUUUUCCUUACAUAUGGAUUUUUAAAAUCUUCCAUUAAGUGCUGACCUGUCCAGGCCAACCUUACUAAAAAUAUGCUUAAUGUUGAUAGCUUAUGCAUAGGCAUUAAUAUUCAAGGAUGUUCUCUUUGUUAAAAAGUAUUUCUACUUUUAAUUUUAUACAUUUUCAAUGUAUUUCACAAACAUUUAUUCUUUAACUGAUAAAGCCCUUUGGCUUUAUAUAAGUGCAAAUCCAACAUUUCCUUUUGGAAUGAACGGUUAAAUUGCAGUGCCUUUGUCUUUCUCCUAUGUAAAAUAAAUUUACAAAAUGAAUGUGCAUAAAUCCAACAAAUAAAGGUAUAUAAAACAACCCUCAUAAGUAAUUAAUGGUAAGGGUAGGUACUGUGGGAUGAAACAAUCUGCACAUUUUUCCAUAAAAUAUUUACAGUUGUUUAUAUGUUAGCAUCAAUACUUAUGGAAUAAUUUCUCCAGAUUGUUUUCCAUCUAUAAAUCAAGACAUUGCUUUAUUGCUGAUUCCACAUGCAGUGAGCUCUCAGUCCUAUAUUUUUCUAAGCAUUUCCUAUUACCUACAAUAUUUUCUAAAAAUGAUUAACAUCACAAAUUCCUUUAUUGCACUUUCA